UCAGUUGCUAAAGUCUUCUUAAAAAAACCCACUCAGCAGGUGUGUAAGGCAGGAGAGGAUGUCUUUGAAGGGAAGAGAACACCACUGCUCCCUUUUCCAUUAACACUGGAUCUGUCCAAGGUUAGCCAGGGAGCUUUCCAGCCCCAGUCUGUAAAAUGCAUCCUGACAUAACUGGCUAAAUUCCCACCAGCUCAUUAAACUCCACCUAUAUUCAAAAGGAAAACUCCAGCAAUCAGCAAUGGGAAACAGCCCCAAGAACAUCCCCUGGCCUGUCAUGAGCCAAAUUAAAUGGCAAAACUGAUCAUCUCAAAAACAUUUCAGCUAUUACAAGUCUCAGUGGACCUGGAUGCAAAACUGAAAGCAACUUCCCAAACAGCCCACAGGGAAACUUUGGGAAGGUAUCCCACCACCUCUAAAUAGAGCUAAAGCAUGAAAUGACCACCACAACAGAGGGAAGGAGAUCCAGGACUCUACCUUGGUUCUCUGAACAGAGGCUGAGCCAUUCAUUAAACUGCUUAAGGAAACAGUUUUGCAAGAGAUGUCGAAAGAAUUAUAUCUAACAGGAGUUUCUUGCACACUGUGGGAAUUAGAAGCCACUCCUACCAAAAUACAAGGAAUGUUUCAACACAACAGAUCUAUUGCUUGAGCACAGCCUGUAGCAGAUAAGGGAAAAUAUCCCUAAUUUCUCUUCUCGUUUGAAUUCCUGCUCCAAGAUGGUAGGAGGAACAAAAAAUUAAAAUCAAUUGUUCUUGGUUUCUUAGUUAAGACAAGACAAUGGCUAAGGCAUAACACAGAAUUAUUAGGGAAGAAAGGGAAAGGCAGCUGGAAUAUAGAUCCAGAGAGGAAACAGAGCAUUUAAUCCAACUACAAGAAAGCGUGAUUUUUUUUUUCCUCAAAACCUAACACAGUGUCUGAAGAAAAACACAUUUGCAUAUUUAUCUGGAAAACAACUGAUUAAAUAGUUAAGAAAUGUAAUAACAACUCACCUGUCUGCACAUCUAUAACCAUCUGAUGGCCACCUCUCAUGCCUGGCCGACUGUCUUCCCCGUCACCUUCAGAAAAAAAGGGAAGGGAGUUUUCCAUUGUAAAAUUUUUAAACCAAAGAAAGACACAGCCUCAACAUGGAAGCAAAGGAAUUGAGUAACUCACCCUUCUUUAAAAACUUGCACAUCACUUUUUCCAGUUAAGGAUGCUGCUACAAGUCUCCUCUCAAGGCAGACAGGAAUGGAAAAGAUUCUGCAGUUUGGAUGUACUGUGUAAGAGAUCAAGACUUCAAAAGAUCCACCUCAUUUAAAAUACUCCCUGUUAAGAUAAUGUAUUUAUUUGCCAACUCUCCACUUGAAGUUGAAGCUACAUCAACUCCUUGUGCUAAAUCCAGUAACACAGUGUUCCUUACUCAACCAGAGAGCAGGCUGAAUUUCACUGAAUUUGCAGACAAAUGCAACUUUUUCGGAGAAGAAACCAUUCCCUAGAACUCUCCUAGAGGAGACUUUCUUGCAUCAUUUUCUUGCUCCACAUUCUCAAAGGAACAAGACAGAACUGGCACUACACGAGCUCUAUCUUAAGAAAUGUCCUUACCUUUGGUGCUUUUGGGGAUAAUCUGCCCCCAGCGAGGCUGCACUUGUCAAGAUAUGACACUUCUCCCCUACUGUGCCUUCAGCCUCUUUUAAUAAUGCUUCUUGUCUUCCGUGGGACAUCGGUUUGGAAAUACUCCAGCUUGCUUCCCAGAAAUGUUUCCUUCUGCUGGAAGCAGUUCCACAUUCACUCUACUUACACUGCAAACCAGCAGCAGCUUGUUUUGGAAGCUGAAUCACCACCUGUCUGACACCACCAGGGAAAAAAAAGGAGGAUUUCUAGGUGGAUUCUGUACCCGACGCCAGACCUACGCCAGCGCACUCCUUAUGUUCCUUGUCAGGAGAGCACUGCUGACCAAAAGGUCUCCAAAGCUCCUGUGAGGCACUGAGGAUCAGAUCUAGGCCUGCUCAGGUCUGUCAGCUGUUCCCAAUGAAUCAGGAGUUUAAAAUAAAUUUCGAGACUCUUGUCAAAAAUAAAAAAAAUUAAAAAAAGGUGUCAGGUGGAAGUUUUUAAAUGAAAUGUUUUCUUUUGCUCCGGAGACCUCUCACUUCAAUGUCCACGUUUACUAAAAUUACAGCCAAAAAAACGACUUGUAC